rnacentral:rRNA from 1 species
UACGAAGGGGGCUAGCGUUGUUCGGAAUCACUGGGCGUAAAGCGCACGUAGGCGGAUGUGUCAGUCAGGGGUGAAAUCCCGGGGCUCAACCUCGGAACUACCUCUGAUACAGCACAUCUUGAGUCCGGAAGAGGUGGGUGGAAUUCCUAGUGUAGAGGUGAAAUUCGUAGAUAUUAGGAAGAACACCGGUGGCGAAGGCGGCCCACUGGUCCGGUACUGACGCUGAGGUGCGAAAGCGUGGGGAGCAAACAGG